rnacentral:tRNA from 1 species
GGUUAUAGCUCAGUGGUAGAGUGCUUGCCUAGCAUGCAUGAGGUCCUGGGUUCAAUCCCCAGCACUGCCA